UGAGGAAUAUUGGUCAAUGGGCGAGAGCCUGAACCAGCCAAGUAGCGUGCAGGAUGACGGCCCUAUGGGUUGUAAACUGCUUUUGUAUGGGGAUAAAGUCAAUCACGUGUGAUUGUUUGCAGGUACCAUACGAAUAAGGACCGGCUAAUUCCGUGCCAGCAGCCGCGGUAAUACGGAAGGUCCGGGCGUUAUCCGGAUUUAUUGGGUUUAAAGGGAGCGUAGGCUGGAGAUUAAGUGUGUUGUGAAAUGUAGACGCUCAACGUCUGACUUGCAGCGCAUACUGGUUUCCUUGAGUACGCACAACGUUGGCGGAAUUCGUCGUGUAGCGGUGAAAUGCUUAGAUAUGACGAAGAACUCCGAUUGCGAAGGCAGCUGACGGGAGCGCAACUGACGCUGAAGCUCGAAGGUGCGGGUAUCGAACAGGAUUAGAUACCCUGGUAGUCCGCACAGUAAACGAUGGAUGCCCGCUGUUGGUACCUGGUAUCAGCGGCUAAGCGAAAGCAUUAAGCAUCCCACCUGGGGAGUACGCCGGCGG
rnacentral:rRNA from 1 species